GAUGAACGCUGACAGAAUGCUUAACACAUGCAAGUCAACUUGAAUUUGGGUUUUUAACUUAGGUUUGGGUGGCGGACGGGUGAGUAACGCGUAAAGAACUUGCCUCACAGCCAGGGACAACAUUUGGAAACGAAUGCUAAUACCUAAUAUUAUGAUAAUAGGGCAUCCUAUAAUUAUGAAAGCUAUAAGCGCUGUGAGAGAGCUUUGCGUCCCAUUAGCUAGUUGGAGAGGUAACGGCUCACCAAGGCGAUGAUGGGUAGCCGGCCUGAGAGGGUGAUCGGCCACAAGGGGACUGAGACACGGCCCUUACUCCUACGGGAGGCAGCAGUGGGGAAUAUUGGACAAUGGACCGAGAGUCUGAUCCAGCAAUUCUGUGUGCACGAUGAAGUUUUUCGGAAUGUAAAGUGCUUUCAGUUGGGAAGAAACAAAUGACGGUACCAACAGAAGAAGUGACGGCUAAAUACGUG
rnacentral:rRNA from 1 species